rnacentral:rRNA from 1 species
UACGGAGGGGACUAGCGUUGUUCGGAAUUACUGGGCGUAAAGCGCACGUAGGCGGAUUUGUAAGUCAGGGGUGAAAUCCCAGGGCUCAACCCUGGAACUGCCUUCGAUACUGGCGAUCUUCGAGUCCGGGAGAGGUGAGUGGAACUCCGAGUGUAGAGGUGAAAUUCGUAGAUAUUCGGAAGAACACCAGUGGCGAAGGCGGCUCACUGGCCCGGUACUGACGCUGAGGUGCGAAAGCGUGGGGAGCAAACAGG